GAUGACUCCCACGGCCUUCCAAGAGUCGAAACCCUCUGCCAGUGACGACUGACUGGUAUUCCCCAUGCGUGGGAAGCCUCGCCGUUUACGGCGAGGAGGAUGUCACCACCUCC
rnacentral:misc_RNA from 1 species